UAUAGCAAUCGCCGGUUGAUGGAGAAACCAGAGCAUUUCGAUGAUUACGGUGAUUUAGAGGAAUACCUAUACAUUAAAAGCUUGAAUCUUAGUUGCCCUUAUAUCCAUUUUAAUGGACCAUCAACCAAGAAGCCAGCCGAUAUUGUCGCCGACGAUGACGGUACGACCGACGACGGGAAACCACCACCGCAUGUACUAAGACAGCAACACGUUGCAGACACAAACAUAAAGUGUUUUCUUUGUCAAAGCCUCACUCAAACCGCCGGGGAGCACCAAAUAAGGUAUUCAUUUGUUGUCUUUCUCACGUAUAAGCUUCCUACAAAACUAUUUCUACGUCCAAACAUUUACUUUCAAACACAAUGAAUUAUGUGUAUACCCAUGUGGCCUCGUCUUUGGUUAUUCAUGCAUCAAUGGCGCACUCACGACGGGGAACGAGGUAGGUCAAUAUAGAUGAAAUGUGUAAACACUUACGAAACUUUCUCAAUUAUGAAUCUGUAAAUUAUUUCAAUGUUCUCACUUGACAAACUUUCUUACAGACCUGCCCGGGUUGUGGGCAACAACACGUGGGGUGGGAGGUAACUAAACUUGACAUUUCCCCUGAUCAGAUUAUAAAAUAAGUACGUCCGAAUCCAUGUACAUGCAUACCGUACACAAU
rnacentral:lncRNA from 1 species